UGCCCGUCUCCGUGUGGGAGGGAUUUCUUUUAUACGUUAUCGAUAGCCUUAUCGAAAAAUUAAUUACACGUAUUAUAUGUAAGUCUUUUAGAAUAUUUAUUUUUAGACGAAUAUUGGAUGGAAAUAAAUAGAAGUACAUCCCGAAAUGUGGGGAUUAGAGGAAAGGAGAAAACAAAGGGAUGAGGAAUAUUGUAUAAACACGGACUGUUCUUCUCCCAGUGUUCUUUUCAUAGCGAGACAAAGUGAAUGCCCUUCUCCGUGUGAAAGGGAUUCCUUUAUAAAUGACGUUCUCGGUCUCGUUAUCGUAGAAGUAGAUUUCACAAAAGAAUUUCAAGUGAUAAAUCAAAAAAUUUUAGACCCUCAAAAAAAAAAUAAACGAUAUAUUUCAACAGGAAAACUCCUCCACACAUUAUAUUUAUAAGGCUGUACGUUCAAAAAGCAGGACAGUCGUUAUUUAAGUGUCACUAUCUCAUAACAGAUCGAACACAAGGUCAGCAACUAGGAAGAGGAAAAUAACCAAAUCUAGCGAUUUGUGCAGUUUGUUGGGGGAAGGGCAAUCCAAAGAGACUACAGAACAUUCGACUCUUCGAUGAUGAUACAUUCUUCUUCGGGAGACGAAUUCAGUCUUAGCCAAUGAUCUGGCUUCAGCACAGAACAAGGUCCAACUUUUAUAUCUGAGAAAAUAUUUUAACUCCCUAAUUUACAAAGGAGCCAUGGCAUGUCGCCUAUCCUCUCCUGUGUCAUAAUUGUUAA